rnacentral:tRNA from 1 species
GGGUCCAUAGCUCAACGGCAGAGCGGCUUGCUCAUAACGAGUUGGUUACAGGUUCGAAUCCUGUUGGACCCA